rnacentral:rRNA from 1 species
AACGAACGCUGGCGGCAGGCUUAACACAUGCAAGUCGAACGCCCCGCAAGGGGAGUGGCAGACGGGUGAGUAACGCGUGGGAAUCUACCGUACCCCUACGGAAUAACGGCAUGGAAACGUGUGCUAAUACCGUAUACGCCCUACGGGGGAAAGAUUUAUCGGGGUAUGAUGAGCCCGCGUUGGAUUAGCUAGUUGGUGGG